rnacentral:rRNA from 1 species
ACGUGAGUAACCUGCCCCUGACUCUGGGAUAAGCCUUGGAAACGGGGUCUAAUACUGGAUACGAGCCGCUCGGGCAUCCGAAGUGUCUGGAAAGAUUUAUCGGUCAGAGAUGGACUCGCGGCCUAUCAGCUUGUUGGUGGGGUAACGGCCUACCAAGGCGACGACGGGUAGCCGGCCUGAGAGGGCGACCGGCCACACUGGGACUGAGACACGGCCCAGACUCCUACGGGAGGCAGCAGUGGGGAAUAUUGCACAAUGGGCGCAAGCCUGAUGCAGCGACGCCGCGUGAGGGAUGACGGCCUUCGGGUUGUAAACCUCUUUCAGCAGGGAAGAAGCGAAAGUGACGGUACCUGCAGAAGAAGCGCCGGCUAACUACGUGCCAGCAGCCGCGGUAAUACGUAGGGCGCAAGCGUUGUCCGGAAUUAUUGGGCGUAAAGAGCUCGUAGGCGGUUUGUCGCGUCUGGUGUGAAAACUCAAGGCUCAACCUUGAGCUUGCAUCGGGUACGGGCAGACUAGAGUGCGGUAGGGGAGACUGGAAUUCCUGGUGUAGCGGUGGAAUGCNNAGAUAUCAGGAGGAACACCGAUGGCGAAGGCAGGUCUCUGGGCCGCAACUGACGCUGAGGAGCGAAAGCAUGGGGAGCGAACAGGAUUAGAUACCCUGGUAGUCCAUGCCGUAAACGUUGGGCACUAGGUGUGGGGCUCAUUCCACGAGUUCCGUGCCGCAGCAAACGCAUUAAGUGCCCCGCCUGGGGAGUACGGCCGCAAGGCUAAAACUCAAAGAAAUUGACGGGGGCCCGCACAAGCGGCGGAGCAUGCGGAUUAAUUCGAUGCAACGCGAAGAACCUUACCAAGGCUUGACAUACACCGGAAACUUCC